rnacentral:pre_miRNA from 1 species
UUGAUAUUCCCUCCGAUCCAUAUUAAUUGUCUCAAAUUUUCCCAAAUAUGGAUGUAUCUAUGCCUAAAAUGCCUAGAUACAUGUAAUAUUUUGACAACUAAUAUGGAUCGGAGGGAGUAAUAU